GAACGUAGGGCGCAAGCGUUGUCCGGAAUUAUUGGGCGUAAAGAGCUCGUAGGCGGUCUGUUGCGUCCGCUGUGAAAACUCGGGGCUCAACCCCGAGCCUGCAGUCGAUACGGGCAGACUAGAGUGCGGUAGGGGAGACUGGAAUUCCUGGUGUAGCGGUGAAAUGCGCAGAUAUCAGGAGGAACACCGGCGGCGAAGGCGGGUCUCUGGGCCGUAACUGACGCUGAGGAGCGAAAGCGUGGGGAGCGAACAGG
rnacentral:rRNA from 1 species